GCCUGGUUAGCUCAGUGGUAGAGCGUGUGGCUUUUACGGCGAGUAAAAUUCUGUGAAGAACACCUCAAUGUCGCGGGUUCGACCCCCGCAUCAGGCU
rfam:Tuber melanosporum whole genome shotgun sequence assembly, scaffold_204, strain Mel28